CCUACGGGAGGCUGCAGUGAGGAAUAUUGGUCAAUGGGCGGGAGCCUGAACCAGCCAAGCCGCGUGAGGGAAGAAGGUACAGCGUAUCGUAAACCUCUUUUGUCAGGGAACAAAGGCGGGGACUAGUCCCCGGAUGAGGGUACCUGAAGAAAAAGCAUCGGCUAACUCCGUGCCAGCAGCCGCGGUAAUACGGAGGAUGCGAGCGUUAUCCGGAUUUAUUGGGUUUAAAGGGUGCGCAGGCGGCCUGUUAAGUCAGCGGUAAAAGCCCGGGGCUCAACCCCGGCGAGCCGUUGAAACUGGCGGGCUGGAGUUGGAGAGAAGUACGCGGAAUGCGCGGUGUAGCGGUGAAAUGCUUAGAUAUCACGAAGAACUCCGAUUGCGAAGGCAGCUCACUGGACUGCAACUGACACUGAGGCUCGAAAGUGUGGGUAUCAAACAGGAUUAGAUACCCCUGUAGUC
rnacentral:rRNA from 1 species